GCCGAGUGAUGCUCCAGGCUUCCUAAAACCUGAACAUGUCACUCCUGCAUGCUGUCCUGUCUGGUUUCUUACAGGAGAAGCUUAUGCGCUGACUUUUCUGCUGCUGCGCACAAGAUACCCGGUUGCGAACGCCUGAAGAGCUGCCUUGGGGUGAUUCAGGACGGGUCGAAGAGAGGAGAUUCCACUGGAGUGCAAGUCGAGCUGCUGGGGGUACUGAGGAGCCAGAGAGAGGCCGGUGCUCUCAUGAUCUUCCUGCUGGAUGGCAGCCAGCUAGCCCAGGAGAGCAGGGACGUAUGUGUCUAAACUCAGGAGAUCUGCACGAGUGACUUCCAGUGCUUCCUUGUCCAAAAGCUAUGGUAAGCGGGCGGUGCAGCACCCAUCACCUGAUAAAUCCAAGGCAUCAAGAGGCAGACCUCUCAGGGGACAGAGGUCCCCGCAUAAAGCAGUCAACUUACGCCAGCUCAGUGCUGGCUGAGAGUGCAGAAAACCGAGAACGGGUGGUAGAAAUAGACUAUUAGUUAUGACCUUGAGAUCCACUGUGACAGGGGACCAGGGCUCGUUCUACUCACUCUCUUACAUUAAGUCCUGACAGAGCUGCAGCUUUGGAUAAAGACUCUGUUGAAUUGGAGGGUCCAUGAUGGAUAUGAACGGUGCAAGGGACUUCCCUUGUGCCUCAGCUCAAAUCCUCUCAGAGGGACCCUCCCUACUUGACAGACUAUUGCGGAGACCAGUCUGGACAGGCUUCAGAACAGCUCAGCCUGGCAGCAAUGUGACAGUGUCUGCCCCAGGGCGUCCCUGAAGCUGCUGUGCAAAUGCCCACAGAAUGCUAGGCGCACACCCUGGGACAGCCUGGAGAUGUGGGGGAGUUGGUGCAAGAGGCCACCAUUGACCACUGGGAGACAGGAUCCUGUAGGUAAAUGCUCACCCAUUUCGUUCCCUGAGCAGAGAAAUCUGAGCUACACCCCCUCAGGCUCUUCAGAAGGUACUAUGGGAUUGGUCUGUUGCCCAUAGGGGCAGCUAACUCAGUCCUACAUCUUUGCCUUUCUCACUUCUCCCGUUUCACUCCUCAGGUCCUCUCUCUGGAUCCCUGGGAUCACUUCCCGUAUAAACUACCUUCAGGUAAGCCUGUGUCUGAGGCACAGCUUUUAGGGGAACUCAAAUGAAGACAGCCAUUCAUAAAGUUGAAAGAGGGAGGGGAAGGUGUGAAACCAUCUUUUCUCAGAGUGCAAAUAUCAUAAAGCCACCAAGCAUGCUGGGUUCCUAUUUGGGGUGUGCAGGAAUGUGUUUAAGGUAAACCCUCCAG
rnacentral:lncRNA from 1 species